AGUGAAUAUGGGUGUAAGUUGGAUUACUAGAACUAUUUGAGUCUAUUUACUUCGUAUUUCUGCUUUCCUAAUCGUAAUUGAUUAUUGUACACUCAUUCAACUUGAACGCAUAGAAAUUCACAGACACUCAGAUAUCUCGCUUUCACCCAAAGUGUAAUUUCCCUUUAAGGACCCUCGCGUCAGACGUUUUUUUGCUGACGUCAUGACGCACGAGCCUGUCUGGAACUUUCUGCUCGACCGCCAUUUUCUUUUUCGCACUCGGAUGAAUAAGCUUUUUCAAGUUUGACGAUUGAGGACGACACUUUGCUAUAACAUUACAUGACUGAAAACAUUCACACGGAAAGAAGAGUGUCCUGAAGGCCCUCAUCGUUUUCCUGGGGAAAAUCCGGU